AACUUUAUAUUCAAAAAAAUGAUAUGAAAUUGCAAAUUUCAAGUUAUAAUUUAAUCAUUAUUAAGGUUU
rnacentral:tRNA from 1 species